rnacentral:tRNA from 1 species
GAGGUAUUAGUAAAAAUAUUACAUAACUUUGUCAAAGUUGUAUUAUAGGUGAAAACCCUUUAUAUCUCU